GGUGAACCUGCGGAAGGAUCAUUAUUGAAUUAAUGUAGAGUUUGGUUGUAGCUGGCUCCUAAUUAAACUUGGGGGCAUGUGCACACCUUUCUCUUUCAUCCCAUACACACCUGUGCACCUGUGAGACAGAUGUUUUGUGGGGGGGAAGGAACUUUAUUGGACCUUCUACUCCCCCUUGACUUCUGUCUACUUAAUUCAUAUAAACUCAAUUUAUUUUAAAACGGAUGUAAUGGAUGUAACACAUCUAAUACUAAGUUUCAACAACGGAUCUCUUGGCUCUCGCAUCGAUGAAGAACGCAGCGAAAUGCGAUAAGUAAUGUGAAUUGCAGAAUUCAGUGAAUCAUCGAAUCUUUGAACGCACCUUGCGCUCCUUGGUAUUCCUUGGAGCAUGCCUGUUUGAGUAUCAUGAAAUCUUCAAAGUCAAACCUUUUGUUAAUUCAAUUGGUUCUGCUUUGGUAUUGGAGGAUUAUUGCAGCUUCACACCUGCUCCUCUUUGUGCAUUAGCUGGAUCUCAGUGUUAUGCUUGGUUCCACUCAGCGUGAUAAGUUAUCUAUCGCUGAGGACACCCUGUUAAAAAGGGGUGGCCAAGGUAAAUGCAGAUGAACCGCUUCUAAUAGUCCAUUGACUUGGACAAUAUCUAAUUUAUGAUC
rnacentral:rRNA from 1 species